ensembl:snoRNA SNORA70 Small nucleolar RNA SNORA70
CUGCAGCCAAUUAAGCUGACUGCCCCCUUUCUCCAUGGGAGUCUGGUGUGCAAUGAAUGAAGACAGCAGCCUGUUUGAUAAUAUAUGUAGCCUACUCCUUGUAUGGGUUGACUAAGAGACUUUAGAGACACAU